GAUGAACGCUGGCGGCGUGCCUAAUACAUGCAAGUCGAGCGAACAGAUGAGGAGCUUGCUCCUCUGCCGUUAGCGGCGGACGGGUGAGUAACACGUGGAUAACCUACCUAUAAGACUGGGAUAACUUCGGGAAACCGGAGCUAAUACCGGUUCAUAUAUUGAACCGCAUGGUUCAAUAGUGAAAGACGGUUUUGCUGUCACUUAUAGAUGGAUCCGCGCCGCAUUAGCUAGUUGGUAAGGUAACGGCUUACCAAGGCAACGAUGCGUAGCCGACCUGAGAGGGUGAUCGGCCACACUGGAACUGAGACACGGUCCAGACUCCUACGGGAGGCAGCAGUAGGGAAUCUUCCGCAAUGGGCGAAAGCCUGACGGAGCAACGCCGCGUGAGUGAUGAAGGUCUUCGGAUCGUAAAACUCUGUUAUUAGGGAAGAACAAAUGUGUAAGUAACUAUGCACGUCUUGACGGUACCUAAUCAGAAAGCCACGGCUAACUACGUG
rnacentral:rRNA from 1 species